rnacentral:rRNA from 1 species
CCUACGGGAGGCAGCAGUGAGGAAUAUUGGUCAAUGGACGAGAGUCUGAACCAGCCAAGUAGCGUGAAGGAUGACUGCCCUAUGGGUUGUAAACUUCUUUUAUAUGGGAAUAAAAUGUUUCACGUGUGGGAUUUUGUAUGUACCAUAUGAAUAAGGAUCGGCUAACUCCGUGCCAGCAGCCGCGGUAAUACGGAGGGUCCGAGCGUUAUCCGGAUUUAUUGGGUUUAAAGGGAGCGUAGGUGGAUUGUUAAGUCAGUUGUGAAAGUUUGCGGCUCAACCGUAAAAUUGCAGUUGAAACUGGCAGUCUUGAGUACAGUAGAGGUGGGCGGAAUUCGUGGUGUAGCGGUGAAAUGCUUAGAUAUCACGAAGAACUCCGAUUGCGAAGGCAGCUCGCUGGACUGCAACUGACACUGAGGCUCGAAAGUGUGGGUAUCAAACAGGAUUAGAUACCCCAGUAGUC